GGAUGAUGACUCAAACAUUCUUCACUUUGACCUGACUGUCUAGUGAUGAUAACCUUCUGUCUGACC